ensembl:lncRNA
GAAAUCCUCGCUGGUCAUGUGUCGCGCUGCUCUUGGCUCCGGACAGUGCAUUCAAGCUGUUGACAACAGUCAUCGAAUGUAGCGGCUCUGAGGACUAGGAAGUCUCCACCGUUUUACUUAAUCGGUUAACGGGGAAAAGCCUAUAUUAGAAACAUACAUGAAAUAGUUUGUUUAACCUCUCCAACCGGAACAAUGAUUUCCCCGUGGGACCGCUGCUGCAUCUGCUGUCAUGUCCGGACGGGCACCAUCAACUUCGAGCGAUUGGACGCCUUCGAUCGAUUAGAUAAUCAAAGUUCCAAACCACUUUACACACGCAGCUGCAGACUGGCGGUGUCCUGGUCUAGUCUGGUUCUACUGCUGCCCUAUGAAGAGGUUGUUGCCAUCCGUCCCAAGGAGGCCUCAGUGUGUGGAAGCAUGAGGAGAGGGAGAGAGACUCUGCCCUGGACCUCCUCCCUCCUUCCCCUCAUCCCCUCCUCCCACAUCCCUCUCCCCUCCUCCUAAAUCCCUCCCUCUCUCUCCUCCUCUCCUCCCUUCCUCUGAUCCCUCCCUCUCUCUCCUCCCUACCCCCUCCCUCUCCUCUCUUCCUCCUCCCUCUCCUCUCUCUCUCUAUCCUCCUCCCUUCCUCCUCCCUCCCUCUCUCUCCUCCUCCCUCUGAUCCCUCCCUCUCUCUACUCCCUUCCCCCUACCUCCUCUCUUCCUCCUCCCUCUCCUCUCUCUCUCUAUCCCUCCCUCCCUCUCCUCCUCUCUCCCCUCCCUCCGAUCCCUCCCUCUCUCUACUCCCUUCCCCCUACCUCCUCUCUUCCUCCUCCCUCUCCUCUCUCUCUCUAUCCUCCUCCCUCCCUCCCUCUCCUCCCUUCCUCUGAUCCCUCCCUCCCUCUCUCCUCCCUACCCCCUCCCUCUCCUCUCUUCCUCCUCCCUCUCCUCUAUCCUCCUCCCUUCCUCCUCCCUCCCUCUCUCUCC